CAAUAGCGUAUAUUAAAGUUGUUGCAGUUAAAAAGCUCGUAGUUGGAUUUCUGGUCGGAAGCUCCUGUCCUCUGAUGAGCGUACAAGUGCGUCCUACCAUCCUUCUGUUAACCUUUAAGGCUUUCGCGGCUUUCUAGGGGCUCAGAUAUUUUACCUUGAGAAAAUUAGAGUGUUUCAGGCAGGCUAGUGCCGGAAUACAUUAGCAUGGAAUAAUGGAAUAGGACUUUUGCCUCUUCUGUUGGUCAUGAGGCUCGAGUAAUGAUUAAUAGGGAUAGUUGGGGGCAUUAGUACUUAACUGUCAGAGGUGAAAUUCUCGGAUUUGUUAAAGACUAACUUAUGCGAAAGCAUUUGCCAAGGAUGUUUUCAUUAA
rnacentral:rRNA from 1 species